rnacentral:rRNA from 1 species
GGGCACCACCAGGGGGUGCAGCUGCGGCUUAUUUGACUCAACACGGCAAAUCUCACCAGGCCCGGACACCGAAAGGAUUGACAGAUUAACAGCUCUUUCUUGAUUCGGUGGGUGGUGGUGCAUGGCCGUUCUUAGUUGGUGGAGCGAUUUGUCUGGUUAAUUCCGGUAACGAACGAGACUCUAGCCUGCUAAAUAGGCGUCGCCAUUUAGGUGUGCUCGACUUCGGUCGUGCAACUCACUGGCGACGUAUUAAAAUUCUUCUUAGAGGGACCGGCGGCUUCGAGCCGCACGAGAUUGAGCAAUAACAGGUCUGUGAUGCCCUUAGAUGUCCUGGGCCGCACGCGCGCUACACUGAAGGAAUCA